rnacentral:rRNA from 1 species
UACGUAGGGGCAAGCGUUGUCCGGAAUUAUUGGGCGUAAAGAGCGCGUAGGCGGUCCGAUAAGUCGGCUGUGAAAGUCAGGGCUCAACCCUUGGAAGCCGGCCGAUACUGUCGGACUAGAGUCCGGAAGAGGCGAGUGGAAUUCCGGUGUGAGCGGUGAAAUGCGCAGAUAUCAGGAGGAACACCGAUGGCGAAGGCAGGUCUCUGGCCGACUAACUGACGCUGAGAAGCGAAAGCAUGGGGAGCGAACAGG